rnacentral:rRNA from 1 species
AACGCGAAGAACCUUACCUGGGCUUGAACCGCACAGGACCAGCUCCAGAAAUGGGGCCUUCCCGCAAGGGACAGUAGUAGAGGUGCUGCAUGGCUGUCGUCAGCUCGUGCCGUGAGGUGUUGGGUUAAGUCCCGCAACGAGCGCAACCCUUACUCGUAGUUGCUACCCGCAAGGGAGAACUCUACGAGGACUGCUCCGGAUAACGGAGAGGAAGGUGGGGAUGACGUCAAGUCAGCACGGCCUUUAUGUCCAGGGCUACACACGUGUUACAAUGCAUGGUACAGACUGUUGCGAACCCGCGAGGGGGAGCUAAUCGGCCAAAGCCAUGCUCAGUUCGGAUUGCAGUCUGCAACUCGACUGCAUGAAGCUGGAAUCGCUAGUAAUGGCGUAUCAGAUCGACGCCGUGAAUACGUUCCCGGGCCUUGUACACACCGAGACGUA